UGAACCACCCAUCCCCCUACAG
rnacentral:miRNA from 1 species